GGCUGUGAUGAUUAUUGCCUUUUUCUGACACCUCUUGUAUGAGAAGGGCUCGUUGUAGCCCUUCUUUGAACAGAGUAGCAAAAGUCUGAGCC